GAAAUAGAAGAGGAAGUAGACAGGUUUUUCCUUUUCGAGAGAAUAGUUUCUUCACGAUUCCCGCUCAUACGGGACACGUACAAGGGGGCGAAUAGAAAUCAUGGAUUCUCCUGGCGUGGACUCUUGGAUCGGCGAGACUCACCUUUCAGAUUUUUUAACGUGGAAGACGUGAUCGAGGAAAAAAGUUUGCCAAUGGGAGGGAAAAAUCUCGCGAUAUUAAUACUUUGAUCGAAGGAUUAUGGAUCGAACGAUGGGUUAUGUGUUGUAUGUAUAAUUCUCAGAGGAACGAUGAGGUGCACUCCGCGAAUUCGCGCAUAAAACUGAUGUCUCAAGUUCGACAAAGACGCAGAAAUCUUAUCUAGCCGAUAACAAAGAGACACAAUGUCAACAGAUAAACAAUGAUUACCUAAUGGUUCCACUAAACAUGAUUACAUCUUGAGGAAUUACUGAAAGUCUCGAGCGAAGGAUUUUCAAAGGAAUUCGUCGGACGUCUAUUCCAUCGAUUAAUACACGACCUUGAGUGAUAUCUAGCAAUCGAAACAACGCCAUCAUUGUGGAGGAUUUCCCGCUUCCGGUUCUUCCGCAAAUUCCAAUCUGUAUGCAUGUAUAUACAUGUAUCAAAACAGAAUAGAAUUCUCUUAUUUUUUUUUAUAAAUUCUUACUUUUUGGCCAGCUGAAAUCUUCAGAGAAAAAUUCGAGAUCACUGGUUGAUUUUGAGAAGCAUAUCUCAGAGAAACAUUUUCAAAAAUAAUUUCACCUUUGUUGGGCCAAUUUUUAGAUAUGUAAAAGCCUAGAAAAUAUUAUAUAAAUCAAAUAAUUUAUCAUUUUUAUCAUACCUUGUUUUUCAAAUUAAAAUUUAUAUUUCAGAGAUAAAGUACCAUCUUGAUAAUUUUCCACAGGGGCAUAUCUGUAAGUGGAAAUCCGAGCAACACUACCAAAAUAUAUCUCUGUCUCCGCGAUAAAUUUCACCACCCAAUUUAAAUAAAUUGGCACUAGUAGGGUGUAAUUAAUCGCCAGGCCAACCAGAGCAGGCGUGAUAUGUGGAUACAAUUUAGCGGAAAUUAACAUUACAAAUAUCGCAGAGCUCACUAUUAUAGCACCUAGAUAAUCCUGGAAAGUGUUCAUGGUGAAGAUAGAUCGAGCAGAAUGAAAAAGUUUUAAAAAUUCUCUUACCAGAACGAUGCCUAACCAUCGACUGCUGGAAUUUAGAAGGAGAAACGCGUUUGUAUUGAUGUCCAGACACUUUAUAGCUUCCUCCAUGAAGCGAUUCUCUUGCUUUGAAGCUCUUAUCGUUGCUAAUCCGCAAAGUGUUUCAGAAAAGAGGAAUUUUUAACUCACUUAGCCCAUUCAAUGGAUCCUGCUAUCCUCUGGAUUUCUCCCAACAUUCCUAGCAGCAAAGAAGUUUUUCCACUUCCCGUUUUACCAACGAUUAAAGUUAACUGACCUGAAAAUUAGAGAAGUUAACAUUUUUACAAAAUCAAAUGAUUUAUUAAUCAUUGCAAUAAAUAAAUUACCACAUGGAAAGCUAAGAUCAUCGAUGGACAACAGACUUUCCUCUGUACCCCAGGAAAAUUUGCAGCCUUUCAUUGUAAGUAUCGGCAUUUCAGGAUCUUUUUCAAAGACUGUAUCUAUAGAAGAAUUUAUAUUCAAUUGGUAAUCUUUUAAGCCACACGAUUGUCUAUUUUCCUCAUCUUCUUUGAUGUUAUCCAAUGAUCCAAAUGUAGGAUUAUUGAGCGUCUUCAUUGUUUCCAUCUGAAGAAAUUAUAAAAUUUGAUUUAAAUCAAAUUUUACAUUAUUAUUUUAAAGUAUUUACAAUGGAUUCGUCGACGGAAUUAGUUUGUGACGAUAUACUCUCAGCAUUUUCUGACUUUCUAUCAACAAAAUCGGGCAAGACAUUGUCAAUUUCUGGAAGUUGAAGAAAUUCCUCCAUUCUUUUCGUGGAAAUCUAAAAAAUCUUUGAAUAAGUAUUGCACAAUAGAAAAACACAAUAGAAAUUGUAAAUUUCGUUUAUUAUUAGAAAUUUUGUUUACCAUAGCAUUGAUAAUGAUAGGGAUCAUGACUGGAAAGAUGAGAAGAGGAACAGUCAACUGUGAGAAUAAUGCUAAGCUUGCAAAAACCUUUCCUACAUCAAGAGUUUGAUCUUCUAGCCAGAAAUAAGCGGCAAAAGUGAAAAGUGUCAUCAGAACCGAAGAAGCAUGGAUGAGGAAGUCUAAUUAUGAAAGAAUAAUAUUUAUUGCAUUAUUACAUUUUUUUCAAUUUUAUUUAUCUAUUCGAAAAAUUAAGUUUACUAAUAAGAGUCCAAUAGAAAGAGUCUUUGUCCAACAUCUUCAGCUCAUCUUCUCUCGUUUUCCUUAUUUUUUCUUCAAAAAUAUUUUCCCAAGCUCUAAGUUUCACCAAUCUCAUUCCUUGGAAAAUUUCAUUGAUUAAACGUAAUCUAGUAUCACUGUUUUUCUAAGGAUAAACAUAUUGUAAAGAUUUUUCAAUUAUUAUUAUUAAAAAUUAAAAGAAAAAUUGGAAAUAUCAACCUACAGUAAUCAAUUUAGAAUUUUCCGACAUCUUUUUACCAAGUAUCAAUUGUAAGGGUAUCACUACUAAUAUGCAACAAAUUGCUCCAAUGAUUGCACUGACGCCCAAUUUUGUGUAAAGAAGAAAAAUAAUAGCAAUAAUCUAAAAACAAUACGUAGCUGUAGAAUAAUUUUAUAGAAUAAAAAUAUAUUGUUUUUCCACCUUUAAUGGAAUGGCCCAUGUAUAAUGUCCAAUCCAUAAAAAACUCAUCACAUUGUAGACAUCUUCUGAUAUCAGAUUAGUCAAAGUUCCAAUAUCAGCAGAUUGCUGGAGUUUAUUCUGUUCUUUCUCCUUGUCUGACAAGUUAUCUUCUUCGUCGAUGCUCCAAGAGUACAAACGCAAAGCUUUAUCGUAUAACAGUGCCUGCAAUUUUAAUUUGACUAUGCUGAUAAUUUUCGAUGGUUUCUAUUUUCGAUUUUUGAGUGUACCUGAAGAGCAGUUUUCAAGCGAAUUCCUUCAACGCAGAGAAUAUGAGUGGAAGCUUGGCUUAGAGUUCCUUGUAAUAAAGAAAAAAACAAUACCAAUAAGCCCAAAAAAUAGCCAUUUUCUAAGAUUUCUGGAAAUGUCAUGACAACCUAAAAUAUAGUAUAAAAUUUCUUUUUUUUUAUUUAAUUUUACAAAAAAAGAAAUUAUCCUGUAGUGUUAGAUACAAAUACCAUAGUGUAUUGAGAAGUUAUUGUUCUAUUUUGAGAGGCAGAAACAUAGUUCAGGAUUUUAGAAAUAGACAAUGGUCCCACAAGGGUUGCAGCAUCUCCCAAUAACUUUAACAAUCCUCCAAUGACAAAGGGAUGCCAUAUCUUCUUCCAAAAACAUUUCCAAAGACAUAAUUUUUUGUUUCUUUCCUAUAAAGAAUAUCAGACACUCUAAAUCAUCUAAAUUUUAUAAAAAUAUUUUUAUAUAUUCGUUGCUGUUAUAUUAUGAUUAGAUGGAAAUGUAUAUUUUUUAAUUAAAAUUUAUUACAGUUUAUUUUCCAUUUUCCAGAAUUACCCUAUGCUCCUCGUAUACUUUUCGAAAUUUUCCAAAUUGUUUCCUAGUACUCUCUUCCUCCGGAAGUUGACCAAGAUCGUGAAUGUCCAGAUAUCUCUUGUAUCCUUUGGACAACAAAUUUAUCAUCCACUGAAAAGUGAUUUUAUUGAAAAAUGGUGCCUCCGUGUGUUUAUAUACGAUUUUUCCUCGUGUCUCUCGUUCGAUCAAGUAUCUUCUCCUUCUUCUUGUCUAGACAGGGUGAAAAUUGUGAUUAUUCAGCGAGUAAAAUGUGGGCUAUUUGUAUGCUCCAGCCUGCUUGUUUUUACUAGGUCAAGGAGCCAAUAUGCACACAUAAAAUAUAUUUAGAAUAACGAUAAAGUGUUCAUCUUACCUGUUAUCGAAAGAUUACUUAAUUGGACAUACUCUUCACAUAACUAUAAUUAAACGUAAGGAGUAUUUUCAUUCUUAUUGAGGUUUGAGAAAAGAGUUGAUAUAUUAUAGCAAAGUGGAAAUUAACGAUGGAUAAUUGCAAUACUAAAAAUUAAAGUGAUUAGGAGAAUUUUAUUCUUCUGAAAAGUAGGUAUAAUAUAGAAUAAUGGAUAAUUAUAUUAUUAUAAAUAGAAUUGAGAUAAUUGAUAAUUGUAUAGAAAACAGAACUAAAGAGACUUGAAGGUAAUUUUACUGCAACAAGUGUAACUUUUUUAUUUUGUUGUUUCAUCAUUUUAUUUUUCAGGAGAUAAAUAGAAAUUUAGGAAAUGUAAUUCUUUAUUUUUUCGUCAUUCUAUAUUUCUAUAUUAAAAAGAAUUUGUUUCAUGAAACCGUGUGAUGUUUGUCUCUCUGACAUUGUAACAAUUAUUAAUUUUAGUAUGACUAUUCUUGGAUGUUUUGAAACAUGUGCAUCAAGCAUCAAAAUACACUUUCUACGAAGAAUUUAUUUGGUUUCCUAGAAACUAACCAGAGAAUAUCGAUGGAAUGGAGCUAUAUUUGCGAUUUAGUUUGCAGUAUCAAGGAAGAAAAGUUCUUUGUUACUAUUCGAUAAGCUCUUCUGCUUCUCCAGGUCACGAUAAUAAACAUUAUUGUUCAAACAAACUAAGUAAAUGUAAAACAAAUGUUUGCAUUCGGCUGGGAGUAGCUGGUUUUUCUCGAUAAGGUUGCAAUGUUAUGUUGCUAAUUCGAUACUUACCAUAAUAAGUAGUUGAUUUAAAUUAAGUAUCUGAUAGUCUAAUUAAAUUAAAUUGAAAUUAAAAUGGAUUUAUGAUUAAUUACAACAUUGAGGACAACAUGAGGACAACAUUUAUGAGGAUAUAACUACCUCGAAUUAGCUUUAAAAUUAAAUAAUAAAUCAACUUACUAUAAGAUACAACGUGUAAGAAUCCAAAAUAGCAAAGAGACCGCAGAAAAUAGCGGUGAUCGCUGUAGUUGUGUAUCGAACAUGUAAAACGGAUAGACCAUAUCUGAAAAUUUUCAGAAAUUGUUUUAGUUGAUACCAGAGUCAUUAACAAUAAUAAAAAAAAAAUUUCAAAUACGAAACUGACCUAUAAAGAUACGUGAGUUUCCAUGCUCGUGAUAAACCAAUCGCAGCGAAUAUUCCAGUAGUGUAAGCAACGCCCAAACCAUCCUUAACUUCGGUGUUUCGAUGCAGGAUCCAGCAGUAAAGGAUAGCUACUAUCGUAAUGAUCGAAGAGCAAGAAAUCCACGUUAGGAAAGACUCGCAUAAUUCCAAGAAAAGAACCACUAAUACCGUCAUACAUAACAGUGUUCUAGUUGUGUGAAAUGGCAGAAGUCUUCUGCAUUUUCUAAGUAAAAAAAGAAAAGUAUUAAAAACCUGGAUCCUUUAUAAAAUAUCAGCGAAGGUCCAAUCGAUCGAUCUUCGACAAACCUUCAAUUAUCCCUCGUUACAACAAAGAAAUAAACAAAUUCAACAUCCUUUAUGAAAAUGAUCUAAAUUAACUCAAGUGCCAAUAAAAUGAACCAAUUAAUUACCAGGUAAUUACAACCUUGGACAAAUGGCAGUCCAAUUAUUUUUGUAUUACCUUUUUAGAAAUUGAUCAAUUUGCUUAUAAACACGUCUAAUAAACGUCAUAAACUUGUUUUUCAACUUCCGUCUUCUCAAAUUAUCUUGUUUUCUUGGAACUUUAAAAGAAUAUUUUCUGGAUUUCACAAUUUCUUAAGAAGAACUGAUCAAAUUUAAAGGGAUUACGAGAAAUCUUUAUUGAUUUUUCAACGAAGAAGAAAGAAAAUAAUCGAGCAGCCAUCUGAUUCAAUUUUAUUAAAAUUCUUCGAACGCGCAACAUGACGUAAACCAGGAAAACGUGUAUACGUAGGUGUAUGAACACCCUUCAUGAACACAUGUUAUAAAUUAUUCUGAACGAGGAAAAAACAAUAGAAACGAGUUUGGUAUAGAAAACAGAUAAAACUUUUGUAGAUCCAGCCUUGUUUCCUGGAAUAGAAAGGUGUUACAGACGUUUGACAUGGAUCUUUUCUUAUUGAAGAUUUUUAAUUACAAUCAUUUAAAAAUUGUAAUAUAAUUCCAUGUAAGAAGGGUCAAGUAAAGGCGAAGAAAUUAACAGGCUUGAGAAAUUUUUAUCACAUUAAUUGAAACAAAUUGUUCGAAUGGAACAUGGUAGUCCCAUAUGAAUCAUGGGGACAUCCCAAAUGUGAAACGUUUCGUUUAAUUGAAGGUUGCUUCAAUUGGUGUUAGCUGAACACGAAGUUCUAGCCCCUUAAAUACAAAUUAAACAUUCAUUGCACGUUUUCCUCAAAUCAACAGUAUGCAUUGUGACAACUAAAGCAAAUACCAUUGCUGUUACGAAUAGCCAAAUCUUAUCGUUUUAAAAUUAACUUUCGAGAAUAUGGUAUCAACAUUUCGAUCUAUAUUAUCAAGUAAUAUAUCAGAUUGUUGUUAAGUAAAUAUUUUAUCGAAUUUGUUAAAUAAAAAGAUUACUUUUUCUUGA